UACGUAGGGUGCGAGCGUUGUCCGGAAUUACUGGGCGUAAAGAGCUCGUAGGUGGUUUGUCGCGUUGUCCGUGAAAACUCACAACACAAUUGUGGGCGUGCGGGCGAUACGGGCAGACUGGAGUACUGCAGGGGAGACUGGAAUUCCUGGUGUAGCGGUGGAAUGCGCAGAUAUCAGGAGGAACACCGGUGGCGAAGGCGGGUCUCUGGGCAGUAACUGACGCUGAGGAGCGAAAGCAUGGGGAGCAAACAGG
rnacentral:rRNA from 1 species